GGGGGGGGGGGGGGGGGGGGGGGGGGCGGGCAGGGCGGGCGAGCGGACGAGAAGCGUGCUUCUCUGAUGUUAGCGGCGGACGGGUGAGUAACACGUGGAUAACCUACCUAUAAGACUGGGAUAACUUCGGGAAACCGGAGCUAAUACCGGAUAAUAUUUUGAACCGCAUGGUUCAAAAGUGAAAGACGGUCUUGCUGUCACUUAUAGAUGGAUCCGCGCUGCAUUAGCUAGUUGGUAAGGUAACGGCUUACCAAGGCAACGAUGCAUAGCCGACCUGAGAGGGUGAUCGGCCACACUGGAACUGAGACACGGUCCAGACUCCUACGGGAGGCAGCAGUAGGGAAUCUUCCGCAAUGGGCGAAAGCCUGACGGAGCAACGCCGCGUGAGUGAUGAAGGUCUUCGGAUCGUAAAACUCUGUUAUUAGGGAAGAACAUAUGUGUAAGUAACUGUGCACAUCUUGACGGUACCUAAUCAGAAAGCCACGGCUAACUACGUG
rnacentral:rRNA from 1 species